rnacentral:rRNA from 1 species
UACGUAGGGGGCUAGCGUUGUCCGGAAUCAUUGGGCGUAAAGGGCGCGUAGGCGGUUUGCUAAGUUCGGUGUGAAAGCCCCUGGCUCAACUGGGGAACGGCGCUGGAAACUGGCAGACUAGAGUACCGGAGAGGAGGGUGGAAUUCCUGGUGUAGCGGUGAAAUGCGUAGAUAUCAGGAGGAACACCGGUGGCGAAGGCGGGUCUCUGGGCAGUAACUGACGCUGAGGAGCGAAAGCGUGGGGAGCGAACAGG